GUAGGUGGCAAGCGUUGUCCGGAAUUAUUGGGCGUAAAGCGCGCGCAGGUGGCUCUUUAAGUCUGAUGUGAAAGCCCCCGGGCUCAACCGGGGAGGGUCAUUGGAAACUGGGGAACUUGAGUGCAGGAGAGGAAAGUGGAAUUCCACGUGUAGCGGUGAAAUGCGUAGAUAUGUGGAGGAACACCAGUGGCGAAGGCGACUUUCUGGCCUGUAACUGACACUGAGGCGCGAAAGCGUGGGGAGCAAACAGGAUUAGAUACCCUGGUAGUCCACGCCGUAAACGAUGAGUGCUAAGUGUUGGGGGGUUUCCGCCCCUCAGUGCUGCAGCUAACGCAUUAAGCACUCCGCCUGGGGAGUACGGUCGCAAGACUG
rnacentral:rRNA from 1 species